AUUGAACGCUGGCGGAAUGCUUUACACAUGCAAGUCGAACGGCAGCACGGGGCAACCUGGUGGCGAGUGGCGAACGGGUGAGUAAUACAUCGGAACGUGCCCAAUCGUGGGGGAUAACGUAGCGAAAGUUACGCUAAUACCGCAUACGAUCUACGGAUGAAAGCGGGGGAUCGCAAGACCUCGCGCGAAUGGAGCGGCCGAUGUCAGAUUAGGUAGUUGGUGGGGUAAAGGCCCACCAAGCCGACGAUCUGUAGCUGGUCUGAGAGGACGACCAGCCACACUGGGACUGAGACACGGCCCAGACUCCUACGGGAGGCAGCAGUGGGGAAUUUUGGACAAUGGGCGCAAGCCUGAUCCAGCCAUUCCGCGUGCAGGAUGAAGGCCUUCGGUUGUAACUGCUUUGUACGGUAACGAAACGGUUACUCUCU
rnacentral:rRNA from 1 species